AUUAAUUGUGGCAGGACGUGAGCUGGGUGAAGAUUGAUUUGGACCCCACCAUCAAAGUGGCCAAACACUUGGAGGUGAAGAGGGCAGGAGCUGGCAAAGGAGCUAGAAGCUGUUGAAACUCAGACUCACCUGGAGCUGACAGGUCCAUGGAGAGUUCCAGCCCCAUAGCAGAGGAAGGUGAUGGGGCUGGCAGUCACCACAGUGCAGUUCCAUGCCCUUCUUGUGUCAGGGACUCCAGAGCUGCAACCUUCUCCUGAACUGUGCUCCGCUUGUGGUCACUGG